rnacentral:tRNA from 1 species
GCGCCCUUAGCUCAACUGGUAGAGCAGCAGACUCUUAAUCUGAAGGUUGAAGGUUCGAUUCCUUCAGGGCGCA